AUGAACGCUGGCGGCGUGCCUAACACAUGCAAGUCGAACGGAGUCCAGCCUUUCAGACCUUCGGGUCAAAGAGGGGAAGACUGAGUGGCGGACGGGAGAGUAACACGUGGGCAACCUGGCUCAUAGAGGGGGAUAACAGAGAGAAAUUUCUGCUAAUACCGCAUAAGCACACACUGCCGCAUGGCAGAGGGUGAAAAGAGAAUCGCUAUGAGAUGGACCCGCGUCUGAUUAGCCAGUUGGCAGGGUAAGAGCCUACCAAAGCGACGAUCAGUAGCCGAUCUGAGAGGAUGAACGGCCACAUUGGGACUGAGACACGGCCCAAACUCCUACGGGAGGCAGCAGUGGGGGAUAUUGCACAAUGGGGGGAACCCUGAUGCAGCGACGCCGCGUGAGUGAAGAAGUAUUUCGGUAUGUAAAGCUCUAUCAGCAGGGAAGAUAAUGACAGUACCUGAAGAAGAAGCCCCGGCUAACUACGUG
rnacentral:rRNA from 1 species